GCUCCACCUGCCCGGGUUUCUUGUUCGGAGUUUGCUCUCCUAGGUGAACUACCUACCACGGCUAACGAGCUCCACCUGCCCUGGUUUCUUGUUCGGAGUUUGCUCUCCUAGGUGAAUUACCUACCACGGCUAACGACCUCCACCUGCCCGGGUUUCUUGUUCGGAGUUUGCUCUCCUAGGUGAACUGCCUACCACGGCUAACGACCUCCACCUGCCCGGGUUUCUUGUUCGGAGUUUGCUCUCCUAGGUGAAUUACCUACCACGGCUAACGAGCUCCACCUGCCCGGGUUUGUUGUUCGGAGUUUGCUCUCCUAGGUGAAUUGCCUACCACGGCUAACGAGCUCCACCUGCCCGGGUUUGUUUAGAGUUUGCUCUCCUAGGUGAAUUGCCUGCCACGGCUAACGACCUCCACCUACCCGGGUUUGUUGUUCGGAGUUUGCUCUCCUAGGUGAAUUGCCUACCACGGCUAACGAGCUCCACCUGCCCGGGUUUGUUGUUCGGAGUUUGCUCUCCUAGGUGAAUUGCCUACCACGGCUAACGAGCUCCACCUGCCCGGGUUUGUUUAGAGUUUGCUCUCCUAGGUGAAUUGCCUGCCACGGCUAACGACCUCCACCUACCCGGGUUUGUUUAGAGUUUGCUCUCCUAGGUGAAUUGCCUACCACGGCUAACGACCUCCACCUGCCCGGGUUUGUUUAGAGUUUGCUCUCCUAGGUGAAUUGCCUACCACGGCUAAUGAGCCCCACCUGCCCGGGUUUGUUGUUCAGAGUUUGCUCUCUUAGGCAUAUUGCCU